rnacentral:rRNA from 1 species
GAUGAACGCUGGCGGCGUGCCUAAUACAUGCAAGUCGAGCGAACAGACGAGGAGCUUGCCCCUCUGACGUUAGCGGCGGACGGGUGAGUAACACGUGGAUAACCUACCUAUAAGACUGGGAUAACUUCGGGAAACCGGAGCUAAUACCGGAUAAUAUAUUGAACCGCAUGGUUCAAUAGUGAAAGACGGUUUUGCUGUCACUUAUAGAUGGAUCCGCGCCGCAUUAGCUAGUUGGUAAGGUAACGGCUUACCAAGGCGACGAUGCGUAGCCGACCUGAGAGGGUGAUCGGCCACACUGGAACUGAGACACGGUCCAGACUCCUACGGGAGGCAGCAGUAGGGAAUCUUCCGCAAUGGGCGAAAGCUUGACGGAGCAACGCCGCGUGAGUGGUGAAGGUCUUCGGAUCGUAAAACUCUGUUAUUAGGGAAGAACAAAUGUGUAAGUAACUAUGCACGUCUUGACGGUACCUAAUCAGAAAGCCACGGCUAACUACGUG